rnacentral:rRNA from 1 species
UACAGAGGUCCCAAGCGUUGUUCGGAUUCAUUGGGCGUAAAGGGUGCGUAGGUGGCGUCGUAAGUCAGGUGUGAAAUCUCGGGGCUCAACCCCGAAACUGCACUUGGUACUGCCUCGCUUGAGUACUGGAGAGGAGACUGGAAUUUACGGUGUAGCAGUGAAAUGCGUAGAUAUCGUAAGGAAGACCAGUGGCGAAGGCGAGUCUCUGGACAGUUACUGACGCUGAGGCACGAAGGCCAGGGGAGCAAACGGG